UCUGCCUAUAGAGGCCUGGGGUCCCUUUGGCAGCACUUUUCUCAAGAAAGUAGAGUCGUGGACAACCAACUGCACAGGUUGGGAGGCUUUGAAGAACAAGCUGCCAUGAAUCCUGCAGCUACAAGGAAAUGAACUCUAUUAACUUGAGUGAGCUUAAAACUAGAUCCUUCCCCAGUCAAGCCUCCAGGUGAGAAUUCAAUCCUGGCUGGCACCUGGAUUGCAGCUUACAGAAGACCCAGCUAAGGCCAUGUCUGGACUUUAAAUCCACAGGAACUGCAAGAUGGUAUCAGAAGUGGGACCUGCAGUGGGGCAUCUAGCAACCCCCAGGAGCAUUGAGUGACCAGGCUUGGGACCCACCGGGCGCAGGGUGUCCAUUGUUCUCUCGAAGCAACUGAGAAUUGUGGAUAUUCUUCAUUAUUCCAUCAUCAUCUCAAACCUCUUGGGUAUAGUGUUUGACUACUACUGUGACCAUAAAUUCCAAUAAAACCUAGGAAAAAUGAAACCACUACAUUAACUGAAAGGGAUCAGUGUAUGUGAGAAGUUUGGAUUUCUACCCCCACCUGGCAAUAAUAAGGAAGGAUUUGACAGCUUCUUUUGGGCAUAUCAGAAUCGCCAGCAUCACUACUCUUGCACUGUGCGGCCAUUAUUAAGUGAAAUAAGGAUUACUUGAACACAAGCACUGCAAUGCCGCUACAGUCAAUGUGAUAACCCAGCUGGUGACUAAGUGACCAAGGACGGGGAGUAUCUACAGCGGGGAGACUCUGGAAAAAGGGAGGAUUCACAUCCAGUGCCACUGGGGCAGGGCAGAAUGAGAGUUCAUCAUGCUACAAAGAAUGGCACAGAAUAUACGACUUGUGAGUGGAUUAUCUCUGGAAUUUUCUGUUGACUACAUUUGUACUACAGUUGUAUGUGGGUAACAAACUGUGGAAAGUGAAACUUCGGGUAAGGGGGAGGCUACCGUAGAUAGCCCAGUAUUUCUUAUUUUGUGGAUUUGUUUAUCUUUCUGCUCACAUCCUUUUCCUUCUGCAUUACCAUUUUAGUAAAAAUAGAUAGCAUCCA
rnacentral:lncRNA from 1 species